GACGAACGCUGGCGGCGUGCUUAACACAUGCAAGUCGAACGGAAAGGCCCUGCUUUUGUGGGGUGCUCGAGUGGCGAACGGGUGAGUAACACGUGAGUAACCUGCCCUUGACUUUGGGAUAACUUCAGGAAACUGGGGCUAAUACCGGAUAGGAGCUCCUGCUGCAUGGUGGGGGUUGGAAAGUUUCGGCGGUUGGGGAUGGACUCGCGGCUUAUCAGCUUGUUGGUGGGGUAGUGGCUUACCAAGGCUUUGACGGGUAGCCGGCCUGAGAGGGUGACCGGCCACAUUGGGGCUGGAAUACGGCCCAGACUCCUACGGGAGGCAGCAGUGGGGAAUAUUGCACAAUGGGCGGAAGCCUGAUGCAGCAACGCCGCGUGCGGGAUGACGGCCUUCGGGUUGUAAACCGCUUUCGCCUGUGACGAAGCGUGAGUGACGGUAAUGGGUAAAGAAGCACCGGCUAACUACGUG
rnacentral:rRNA from 1 species